AGCGAACGCUGGCGGCAGGCUUAACACAUGCAAGUCGAGCGGGCGUAGCAAUACGUCAGCGGCAGACGGGUGAGUAACGCGUGGGAACAUACCUUUUGGUUCGGAACAACACAGGGAAACUUGUGCUAAUACCGGAUAAGCCCUUACGGGGAAAGAUUUAUCGCCGAAAGAUUGGCCCGCGUCUGAUUAGCUAGUUGGUGAGGUAAUGGCUCACCAAGGCGACGAUCAGUAGCUGGUCUGAGAGGAUGAUCAGCCACAUUGGGACUGAGACGCGGCCCAAACUCUUACGGGAGGCAGCAGUGGGGAAUAUUGGACAAUGGGGGCAACCCUGAUCCAGCCAUGCCGCGUGAGUGAUGUAGGCCCUAGGGUUGUAAAGCUCUUUUGUGCGGGAAGAUAAUGACGGUACCGCAAGAAUAAGCCCCGGCUAACUUCGUGCCAGCCGCCGCAGUAA
rnacentral:rRNA from 1 species